AGGGGUUGGGACCACCAUCAUAGUGUCCGCCGGCCCAACUCCGUCCUUGGAGUUCUUUGCCGGCAAAACUUCCCGGGGUUUGUCAUGUUGCCUGGUGAGGGCCGGCUUCCAGAGCUUGGAUUGAGCUGGGAGCACUAUGUGGCUGCCCCGGCCCCGCCGGAUGAGAUUAUCGACGGUGUCGUGUGCGACAUGAGGGCAGACAUGGUGAUCAGAAAGUUCUGGACAUUCUACAGGUGUGAGGAGGGAUACGAGGAGGACGCGGCACAUGUUAUCGAGAACGUCUGCAAGCGCCUACUCCAGAACUUAUGGCACGAGGAUCGGGUGCAGGCUGUUCGAGACUACUACGCCUUGCGUGGUAUCAAGAAGACCAAGCCGGCGUGCCGCGAUAAGUUCCUGAGUAAGGAGCAGUACAUGAAG
rnacentral:rRNA from 1 species